rnacentral:rRNA from 1 species
UCAAAGAGGGGGACAACAGUUGGAAACGACUGCUAAUACCGCAUAAGCCCACGGCUCGGCAUCGAGCAGAGGGAAAAGGAGCAAUCCACUUUGAGAUGGCCUCGCGUCCGAUUAGCUAGUUGGUGAGGCAACGGCCCACCAAGGCGACGAUCGGUAGCCGGACUGAGAGGUUGAACGGCCACAUUGGGACUGAGACACGGCCCAGACUCCUACGGGAGGCAGCAGUGGGGAAUAUUGCACAAUGGGGGAAACCCUGAUGCAGCGACGCCGCGUGGAGGAAGAAGGUCUUCGGAUUGUAAACUCCUGUUGUUGAGGAAGAUAAUGACGGUACUCAACAAGGAAGUGACGGCUAACUACGUGCCAGCAGCCGCGGUAAAACGUAGGUCACAAGCGUUGUCCGGAAUUACUGGGUGUAAAGGGAGCGCAGGCGGGAGAACAAGUUGGAAGUGAAAUCCAUGGGCUCAACCCAUGAACUGCUUUCAAAACUGUUUUUCUUGAGUAGUGCAGAGGUAGGCGGAAUUCCCGGUGUAGCGGUGGAAUGCGUAGAUAUCGGGAGGAACACCAGUGGCGAAGGCGGCCUACUGGGCACCAACUGACGCUGAGGCUCGAAAGUGUGGGUAGCAAACAGGAUUAGAUACCCUGGUAGUCCACACCGUAAACGAUGAUUACUAGGUGUUGGAGGAUUGACCC